rnacentral:tRNA from 1 species
GUAGCUCAGUGCUAGGGUAUCUGCUUUCCAUACAGAAGGUCCCAGGUUAAAUCCCAGGUGCA